rnacentral:rRNA from 1 species
GACGAACGCUGGCGGCGUGCUUAACACAUGCAAGUCGAACGGAAAGGCCCUGCUUUUGUGGGGUGCUCGAGUGGCGAACGGGUGAGUAACACGUGAGUAACCUGCCCUUGACUUUGGGAUAACUUCAGGAAACUGGGGCUAAUACCGGAUAGGAGCUCCUGCUGCAUGGUGGGGGUUGGAAAGUUUCGGCGGUUGGGGAUGGACUCGCGGCUUAUCAGCUUGUUGGUGGGGUAGUGGCUUACCAAGGCUUUGACGGGUAGCCGGCCUGAGAGGGUGACCGGCAACAUUGGGACUGAGAUCGGGCCCAGAGGCAUACGGGAGGAAGAAGUGGGGAAUAUUGCAAAAUGGGCGGAAGCCGGAUGCAGAACCGCCGCGUGCGGGAUGCCGGCCUUCGGGUUGUAAACGGCUUUGGCCUGUGACGAAGCGUGAGUGACGGUAAUGGGUAAAGAAGCACCGGCUACUUACGU